rnacentral:misc_RNA from 1 species
GCUUCUUAUAGCUCCAACUGAUUGGAAUCUGACCAAAAUAUAACAAAUAUCCAGAAGUAGAAGUCCUAUCUCAUGGAUCGCCCGCCCAAUCGGCAUCAGAAUAGGCAUGAAAAACAGGAUGACUUUGAGGUGUGAUAUGGAUACCGAAAUUGAUUGUGGACUUGAGGUAUCGCAACAAUCUCUUGCGAGCUUGCCAGUGAGAAUUGCUCGGACAAUGCAUAAAUUGAGACAGUUUGUUGACGGAGAAGGCCACGUCAGGUUUAGUUAGAUUUAG